AUACGUAGGGGGCGAGCGUUGUCCGGAAUGAUUGGGCGUAAAGGGCGCGUAGGCGGCCCGGUAAGUCUGGAGUGAAAGUCCUGUUUUUGAGAUGGGAAUUGCUUUGGAUACUGUCGGGCUUGAGUGCAGGAGAGGUAAGUGGAAUUCCCAGUGUAGCGGUGAAAUGCGUAGAGAUUGGGAGGAACACCAGUGGCGAAGGCGACUUACUGGACUGUAACUGACGCUGAGGCGCGAAAGUGUGGGGAGCAAACAGGAUUAGAUACCCUGGUAGUCCACACUGUAAACGAUGAAUGCUAGGUGUAGGGGGUAUCGACCCCUUCUGUGCCGCAGUCAACACAAUAAGCAAUCCGCCUGGGGAGUACGGCCGCAAGGUUGAAACUCAAAGGAAUUGACGGGG
rnacentral:rRNA from 1 species